CCCUUAGAUGUUCUGGGCCGCACGCGUGCUACACUGAGUGGAUCAGCGGGUCAGGUUGCGCGAAAGUGUUUCCUAAUCUUUAAAUCCGCUCGUGAUGGGGAUUGACGGUUGCAAUUUUCCGUCAUGAACGAGGAAUACCUUGUUAGCGCGGGUCAUCAUCCCGCGCUGAAUACGUCCCUGCCCUUUGUACACACCGCCCGUCGCUCCUACCGAUUGAGUGGUCCGGUGAGGCUUUGGGAUCUGAGCGGAAAGAGCGUUUCGCUGUUUCUGCCCGGAAAACUCAGUCGAACCUUAUCAUUUAGAGGAAGGAGAAGUCGUAACA
rnacentral:rRNA from 1 species